rnacentral:rRNA from 1 species
CCUACGGGGGGCUGCAGUGGGGAAUAUUGGACAAUGGGGGGAACCCUGAUCCAGCCAUGCCGCGUGUUUUAAGAAGGCCCUCGGGUUGUAAAGCACUUUCAGUGAGGAAGAACGCCUGGUGGUUAAUACCCAUCAGGAAAGACAUCACUCACAGAAGAAGCACCGGCUAACUCCGUGCCAGCAGCCGCGGUAAUACGGAGGGUGCGAGCGUUAAUCGGAAUUACUGGGCGUAAAGCGCGCGUAGGUGGCUUGAUAAGCCGGUUGUGAAAGCCCCGGGCUCAACCUGGGAACGGCAUCCGGAACUGUCAAGCUAGAGUGCAGGAGAGGAAGGUAGAAUUCCCGGUGUAGCGGUGAAAUGCGUAGAGAUCGGGAGGAAUACCAGUGGCGAAGGCGGCCUUCUGGACUGACACUGACACUGAGGUGCGAAAGCGUGGGUAGCAAACAGGAUUAGAUACCCCAGUAGUC